ensembl:lncRNA
CUGCGUUGGUGAGUGUGGUGCGACACCCCAUAAGCGCCACACACGUACACGUACCGGUGGGACGGGUUUGUACGAGGCUGGGAGGAAAUCAUCACAGUAUACCCACUACAAUAGAGUAGACUACACCUCUGAUUAUAGGCCUGCCGCCUACAGUAGAUGCAAGCUACACUAGGUUCUGUUCAGUCAAUAUUGAAGAGGAUGAAUUCGGUUAACAAUCAUCAACCAGCCGGAUCGACCGGCAGAAAGGGGCGACGGGGCAAGUCACCAUGCUCGGGUCACGUGAUGAAAGCGAGGCUCAUCGAUUGGCUGCAGGGGAAUUCCAGGUCACCAUCCAUCGCUCAGCAACUCACUGGCAUUUAGCUCCAGAGAAUCCGGCGGCGGUGGUGGCGAGCUGACCAGAGGACAGCUGGCUACACUGUGACUCCACGACAUGUGUGAGGCAGGGCCUUGUGGUGCAACACCUGCUAUUGUAGCGCCUCUGGAGAUGAAAAGGUAUAAACCCACCGCUGGCUGAGGCUGCUCCUGAUGUCCCCACAAGCUGAUCAACGAGGAGGAGACUUUGCUCUGGAAGCCCACCUGCCCAGCGGGGAGGAGGAGAAGCUCAGAGGAGGAACUCAGAGGAGCAGACAGGAACUCAGAGUUCACCUUUUAGAAACCGUCUACAACAUCAAACUCUCCCGUGUCGUCCCUGGGCUCAGACCUCCAGGAAGCUGC